rnacentral:lncRNA from 12 species
AUUAUCAUACCAGUUGUAUAAGCAAUAGUCUGGAUCAAAGACAGACUCGAGUAGGGAGAUCACAUGAGAGUCUGUUGAUGUAGUCCAGGAGCAAGGGUCUAAGGAACUAGCAGAAGAUGCGGCAGUGGAGACAGAAGGCAAGAGGUUGCUCAAGUAGAAGUGUGAAGGACAAGACUAUGCCUAGGGGACCACUCACUUAAGACAAAAGAGAGAGUGGUAGAGGAGGAUGAAGCUGUAGACAUAGAGGCCAAAAUGUAAGUUACAAGUAAAUAUUAAGUGUUUUUGAAAAUGAUUAUAUAGAUAAUAAAGAGGUACUGAAGU